GCUGGGAAUUUUGAUUUCCUAAUUUUUUUUUUUUUGGUUCUUUUGUAUAUCUAGAGAGAGGCAGUAGUAUAUAUUUUUUUUCUUAAUGAAAAACUGGUACUCAUCUACCUUAUUAUGUUAAUUUAUUCUAAAUAGAAAAGUUCAAAUUUAUUAGAGAGAGAAAGGGGGAAUCUGAGAUUGAAUGCUUGCUCAAUGGGACAAGUUGGCAGGUAGAUCAAUGGAUUCCUUUGGCUUGGCGUGCAUGGCUGUGAAAUUUUCAAUCAAUGAUGUAUUGAUAAUUUUUUUGUUCAACAUUAUAGCACAAGAGAUGAAGAAAAAAAUUAUCAAUACAUCAUUGAUUGAAAAUUUCACAGCCAUGCACGCCAAGCCAAAGGAAUCCAUUGAUCUACCUGCCAACUUGUCCCAUUGAGCAAGCAUUCAAUCUCAGAUUCCCCCUUUCUCUCUCUAAUAAAUUUGAACUUUUCUAUUUAGAAUAAAUUAACAUAAUAAGGUAGAUGAGUACCAGU
rnacentral:misc_RNA from 1 species